UUUAUCCUGGCUCAAAGUAACGCUGCGGCAGGCUAACACAUGCAAGUCGACGCAGCACAGCAGAGCAAUACUGUGGUGGCGAGUGCGGACGGGUAGGAAUACAUCGGAAUCUGCCCAGUCGUGGGGGAUAACAUAGGGAAACUCAUGCUAAUACCGCAUACGACCUACGGGUGAAAGCGGGGGAUCGCAAGACCUCGCGCGAUUGGAUGAGCCGAUGUCCGAUUAGCUAGUUGGCGGGGUAAUGGCCCACCAAGGCGACGAUCGGUAGCUGGUCUGAGAGGAUGAUCAGCCACACUGGAACUGAGACACGGUCCAGACUCCUACGGGAGGCAGCAGUGGGGAAUAUUGGACAAUGGGCGCAAGCCUGAUCCAGCCAUGCCGCGUGGGUGAAGAAGGCCUUCGGGUUGUAAAGCCCUUUUGUCCGGAAAGAAAAGCACUGGAUUAAUACUUCGGUGUUCUGACGGGCCGGAAGA
rnacentral:rRNA from 1 species